AUUUCCACCCACCCCGCACGUCUCUCACCCACCCUUGCACAUUUCUCUCUCUUCUCCCCCCACACACGCACGGCCGCACCGAUCCCCACCACUGGUCGUCCCUCCCCGCCGGCCGUCGGUGUCCCCCUUCAUGGCGCGCUUACCACCUUCGUCCCUACACGCCACUCCCACCGGCAGGUCCCUCUCCCGGCCUUUCCCACGCCCCCACAUCAUCCCACCACUACCACCACACCAUGAUUCCCAACCUCCAUGGCUCCACCAAGCUCCCGCGCCAGGUCGUCGACCACCGCAUGCCCAGCCGGAUCCCCGUACCCCAACCCAGCUCCCCACGGCCGCCUCACCUAAUUCCCCCACCGAACCGCGAGAUAGAGGCGAGUCCGCGGGUGGUGAUGGACUUCUGCACGGGUGCCAGGAGUCCUCGUGAAGAUCCGGCGGCGACCGCCGGACGAGCCGCUUGCUCUGUGCAGUGGAGAGGCCGGGGUCCUUAACACCCUCCUUGUUUAUGGAGGGCGGCCGGGGGCGCUCGCCCAUGUCUUUUGCUGUUGGCCUCUACUCGUAAAAAAAUUGCAGAAGCCAGAUCCGAUCUUACUUCUUUUCCCCUGAGUCUCUUGAUUUUUUUAAAUCAUGAUUUACCAAGUUCUAGGAUCCACAAGGAUUUCUUUUGUACGAGUCCAUCCAGAUACGUUUUUUAGGUUCUUGAUUUUCUUUGUUGGAUUGAAGAUUCAUCCCACCGCGCACGGUGGUUCUUCCUGGCCGUGCGCAAUUCCUCCAGCUGCCGGCCUGGCGUACUUCUUCCCGUCGUUCGGCCGCCCUCGCUCCUCUAUCGCUGCCGCCUGGAUUUCUUUUGAUUUCAUUUUUUGUUCAACUCGAUCCAGUCUGGCUCCCCUAUCCCCUGUCCCGGCAGUCUUCCCCUGCACUGCGUCGAUCCGGCAGAGCCCGUGGGUCCGGCCGCAGCCUUCCCCUCCUCCGGCCGGAGUCGAAGAAGAUCGGGGAGCUCCCCGCACUCCCCUGCAUCUCGCAGAGCUGGAGGCAGGCUAGCACGCCCAAAAUACCGCGCCACGGCCACCGUGGACGGUUGCCUCUCCCCGCGCCAUGGCCACCAGUGAUCCAUCCUGCAGCUCGGACGGAAGGAUGGUGGUCGACGGUCGUGAGGCAGGAGCCGGGCUGGCGGUAGUCGACCUUGUGCUCCAUCCGGAGAGGCGGCGCACGACUCCAGCAGGAGGCCAUGCUCGUCGCCGGCCGCUCCCGUGUCCACCUCGCCGACGAGGACAACUCCAGCACUCCCGAAGCUCCUCUGCCGCCACCCAGGCCGUGCUCUAUCGUUCUCUUACGCCGUCGACAGAGACGCGCGGCCUAGCUCUGCUCUCUCUCUGUCUAUCCCCGCAUGGACAGUGGCAAUCAGCUUCGUAAUCAUUUGAGAUCUGAAUUUGUUUCACCUUUUUUUUCCAGAAUGAAUCAGAUCCAUUUUGUGCACGGUGUGUUCCUGAUCCCGAUCUAUUUUGUUAAUCUGUGGGAUUUUCUGGUGUAAAUGAGUUCCCAACUCAGAGGAAGUGGUUGCCUUUCCGUUUGAA